GACGAACGCUGGCGGCGUGCUUAACACAUGCAAGUCGAACGGAAAGGCCCUGCUUUUGUGGGGUGCUUGAGUGGCGAACGGGUGAGUAACACGUGAGUAACCUGCCCUUGACUUUGGGAUAACUUCAGGAAACUGGGGCUAAUACCGGAUAGGAGCUCCUGCUGCAUGGUGGGGGUUGGAAAGUUUCGGCGGUUGGGGAUGGACUCGCGGCUUAUCAGCUUGUUGGUGGGGUAGUGGCUUACCAAGGCUUUGACGGGUAGCCGGCCUGAGAGGGUGACCGGCCACAUUGGGCCUGCGAUACGGCCCAGACUCCUACGGGAGGCAGCAGUGGGGAAUAUUGCACAAUGGGCGGAAGCCUGAUGCAGCAGCGCCGCGUGCGGGAUGACGGCCUUCGGGUUGUAAACCGCUUUCGCCUGUGACGAAGCGUGAGUGACGGUAAUGGGUAAAGAAGCACCGGCUAACUACGUG
rnacentral:rRNA from 1 species